UAAGAUUGAAAUUAUCCCUGAUCCUGAAACACUGCAUUGAGGCAUGGACUAAGAUGCAACAUCAAAAAAACUUUAGGGAAGAUUUUAAUAGAACCAAAACCAAUCAGACGCAAAAAGGAGUUAAUCGCAACGCAGCGCGAUUAGGAAGGGCCAGCUGCACAAAUAAUCCAUUUUAGGCGCAAAGGGGUGGAUUCGGGUCUCCAAGCGGGUUGACGCGCGGACCCUACCCCCUUUUGGAACGACGCCGUUUCUGAAUCUGCUGUUAAACCCCCCUUUUUCAAUUGCUUUCUACUUAAAACGCAAAUCCUUCAAUUUAAAGUAAGUUAUGCUAUCAGCCCAUUCCCUUAGGGCUUCCUUUAGCAUGCCGCCGCCGAUGAUAGAACUACUUGGAACCAGGAAAUCAAUUUGCAGCCUCAAGACCACUCCUCAGACUUCGAUUUUAGCGAAGCAAAGAAGAAUCCGUGGCGAUUUUGCAAAGUAUGGAGAAACGACCGUACGGAGAAAGUCGCUCGUGAAAGCCGUGCGUGAGCUCGAUUGCAGCACUGGUGUGUUCUAGAAACCCUUAGGUUUCUGGCAUUUCCAAGCAGCUGGGCCUUUUGGGCCGUUUGUGAAUUGGGCUGCGAGUUUGGGUUAUUAGUUAUUAGGUUUUAGGAUUGGGUCAAGUUUUAUGUAACUGGGUUAAGUUUAUAUUAAGGGACUUUGGGUUUAAGUUACUUUUGGCCCAAAUAUUUGUAACUGGACAUUGGACUUCUGAUUUUGGGCUCUUUAUUUGUGUGUUUUUUUUA